GACGAACGCUGGCGGCGCGCUUAACACAUGCAAGUCGAGCGAGGAAAUUUCGACAGAUCCCUUCGGGGUGAAGAUGAAAUGGAUUAGCGGCGGACGGGUGAGUAACACGUGAGUAACCUGCCUUUGACAUUGGGAUAGCCUCGGGGAACUGGGAUUAAUACCAAAUGACACUAACUGAUCACAUGUUCAAUUAUUAAAAGAAAUUCGGUCAAAGAUGGACUCGCGGCUGAUUAGCUAGUUGGUGAGGUAACGGCCCACCAAGGCGACGAUCAGUAGCCGGCCUGAGAGGGUGAUCGGCCACAUUGGAACUGAGACACGGCCCAAACUCCUACGGGAGGCAGCAGUGGGGAAUAUUGCACAAUGGGGGAAAACCUGAUGCAGCGACGCCGCGUGAGCGAAGAAGGCCUUCGGGUCGUAAAGCUCUUUUAUGAGGGAAGAUAAUGACGGUACCUGAAGAAAAAGCCCCGGCUAACUACGUG
rnacentral:rRNA from 1 species